CUUCGGGAACUCUGAGACAGGCGCUGCAUGUGCUGUCGUCAGCUCGUGUUGUGAAAUGUUGGGUUAAGUCCGCAAANGAGCGCAACCCUUAUCCUUUGUUGCCAGCGGUUCGGCCGGGAACUCAAAGGAGACUGCCAGUGAUAAACUGGAGGAAGGUGGGGAUGACGUCAAGUCAUCAUGGCCCUUACGAGUAGGGCUACACACGUGCUACAAUGGCGCAUACAAAGAGAAGCGACCUCGCGAGAGCAAGCGGACCUCAUAAAGUGCGUCGUAGUCCGGAUUGGAGUCUGCAACUCGACUCCAUGAAGUCGGAAUCGCUAGUAAUCGUAGAUCAGAAUGCUACGGUGAAUACGUUCCCGGG
rnacentral:rRNA from 1 species